AUUUAAGUUUUGUAAAGGCCUAUUUCCUAAAGGACAUUCAAUAAAUGUGUUGAACGGCUAUGAAAUGUAGAAGGCUCGGGCCCAGGGGCGAGCAGGCAGAUGCCAAGGAAGCGGACACACAACAGUCUGGUGGGGCCUGUGGGACAAAGAAUUUUCAUUUCCAAGGCUUGUCAAGAGAAACCGAGUCACACCAGCCACAACCUGAAGAGGAGUAUCUGGGAAAGGACAGCAGAGACAGAAGCUCUAAGGUCAUCAGUGACCCUCUGUAUCCUCACUGUCUAUACCGAUGGGUUGUUGUUAGACCUUCUACCAGACUGUUUCAUUUCAACUCUAUCCAUGACUGAGCUAGGAAUGAUCUGGAAAUUUUCUGCCCAGAAGACAGAGAUGCUCACUCCCCAGCAAAUCAGACCCAGUUCUUGGCAGCUAAAUUCAGAUGCUCCAGCCUGGCCCUUGCAUGAAAAGCUUCGGGAAAACCCCCGGGAGCAGAGAGGCUGA
rnacentral:lncRNA from 1 species